rnacentral:rRNA from 1 species
UACGGAGGAUGCAAGCGUUAUCCGGAUUCAUUGGGUUUAAAGGGUGCGCAGGCGGGCAUUUAAGUCAGUGGUGAAAAGCUGCCGCUCAACGGUAGUCUUGCCAUUGAUACUUUUUGUCUUGAGUUUGUUUGAGGUAGGCGGAAUGUGCAGUGUAGCGGUGAAAUGCAUAGAUAUUGCACGGAACUCCGAUUGCGUAGGCAGCUUACUAGACCAAUACUGACGCUCAUGCACGAAAGCGUGGGGAUCAAACA